ensembl:snRNA U6 U6 spliceosomal RNA
GUGCUCGCUUCGGCAGCACAUAUACAAAAAUUGGAAUGAUACAAAGAUUAGCAUGGCUCCUGCAGAAGAUGACAUGAAAAUUGUGAAGCAAUCCGUAAACAC